AAGAUCUAUCCAGUGGUGGUAGAAUAAUACCUAAUAUUACCUAAUAAUACCUAAGAGCAUAGUCCCUAUAGAUAGGGGUGGUUUUGUAACUGCAUGAAGUGUUGGUUUUCUAAUGAGCUUUAGUAGGUUUAUUUGCCUUGGAAAUCAGUGGAGAUGGGACACUGAAAAUCAAAUGAUGUCAUAAAACAAAAUUCCUUAAGAGGCAUGGAGAGAAAAUUCUACAUUCUGAUGACGGGGUUGUAGAAAUCCAAUGCCUUGCACAGGCCCCUGAUGGAUCCCAUGAGCAGUAGGAGGGGGUUAUUACUAGAGAAGAUGCAGACAAAGGCCUGUCCCUGCAAGUUAGUUCCCUGAGCUGAUGAAUCAAGAAAAGAAAGCAUGCACCCACCUUUAAGGAUUUCUAGUUCAGCCAACCCAGACCUGUCACAUCAUGCUAUUUUCUGGGUUACUUUUGGAGGGAUACCAUAAGACAGCGAAGAAAUUAAUGCAUCAGGGGACUUCAAGCAGAAAAAUCCAUCUGACCUGGUGACAGUUGCUCUGGUACAAUCAAAGAGGAGGAAAAAGCAACUUUGCUGAACUUGGUCACAGAGAGAACUUUGAAGCCCACUGCAAGACUGUCCAGGAGAAAGGAACUGUAAGAAAAAUAUCUCAUGGUUGUUGGUCUAAAUCUGACUUCCUGAUGCUCUGUUCCAUUUUAAUGAAAAUUUUAAGCCGUG